rnacentral:lncRNA from 1 species
UUCUUCGUCUCUGUAAGACUGUAACUGAGAAGGAAAGGGAUCGCCAGUGAAUUGCAGGAACAUAAGGAAUAAAGUGGGGCAAGUUUUUAGAUAAUUUGAACAAUCUGUAAGUGACCUUACUUUCUCAGCAAAUUCUACAAAAGGAAGUUACUUGUACUCGAUUUAAUUUCCACCAAUUUUGAGUUUUUUUUUUAUAUAUUUAAUUUCUUGGUCUUAUUAAUUUGUACAAUAUUAGAUUUUCAUCCUAUUACAAUAUCAGAUCAAAUUAAUGAAUUAACUAUUACAAUAUUGGAUAUUUUCCAAAUCUAGAGCAAUUAAUUGCCGGACAUUGAGUUCUAGAACUAAUAAUAAUGAUAGCUAGAUGAACAAAUAAGAAAGAUUUAUGCUUAAAUUAAUAUGUUUAUUUAAAAUUAAAGCACAAACUUGACUUUGAUUCCUAAACAAAACUACAUUAAUAAAAAAAAAAAAAAAUACAUAUAAUUCUAGCUACUUUAUGGAUUUUAAUUCUGUUUGAGUGUAUCAAUAAACCUUCCAUUAACUAUAUCAUUGUUUGUGAUAAAAUCCAGAAAGUCUCUGAAGCUGAACUCUUUGUAAGACUGUGGAUGUUGUUUGUCCACGAGCAUUGGUGCAGGCCCUACUUUCUUGUCCAAAGGAAGACUGUGGAGACUUGCAAUGGAAAGUCUACUUUUCUCAGCGCUAACUGUUGCUCUGUGCAGAACACUUUUGUAAUGUCCAUUGCUCAGAACCUCCAUUUGGUCUCCCAGCUGAACCAAGAGAGCUCCUUCGAUGGCCGGGACCGAUUGCCAGUUGCUGUUCUGGUCCUUGACCUGAAGCCCUGGACAACUUUGAAGCAGGAUGGUUAUGGAGCCAUAGUCUGAAUGGGGAGGCAUUCCUAAGGCAAGCUCUGGUUCUGGACAUGCAGGGUAGCAAUUCACAGCCACUAGUUGGGACCCACUUUCAACUUCUUCUU